rnacentral:lncRNA from 1 species
GAGAAUGUUCAAUGGUAAUAACGUUAUUGAGGAGGUCUGUUGAUGGAUCAUGGCGUGCGUGAUUGACUUAUCAUUUUUCGAGUGUCGAAUGACUAGUUUUUUUUCCGAGCUUAGUCGUAGGCCAUUUCUUCUUUGUCGUUAUUUUAUAAAUUCUCCGUUUGAGCCUUUCGGUGUGAGAUUGAGUCUGCAUAGGGCUAGUUCCUAAUUUGGGAGUGGUAAAGUUUGUAUUUUGCCAUAAAUGCGCAACUGUAGCAUUUCGUUUGUAUUUAUGAAUUAGUGUCCAAACAUUGACUAAUUAGGCUCAAAAGAUUCGUCUCGCAAAGUAUAAUAAAACUGUGCAAUUAGUUUUUGAUUUCGUCUACAUUUAGUACUCCAAGAAUAUACCGCAAAUUUGAUGUGACGGGGAAUCUUCUUUUUGCAUAAUGUCAAAGUUAGGAAAAAGAGGAACUAAACAAGGUCAAAGCGUUGCUCAAGCAAGUUUUUUUUUUUAAAAAAAGAUGGCAUCUACGAGACGUAGCUGUCUUUGUUUUUCUCAUGGACAAGCUAGUAUGGGGGUAGGGGCCAUGCCCCCCCCCCCCCCCCCCCCCCCCUGAUGGCUCGAUCUUCU